AAUCAACGCUGGCGGCGUGCCUCAGACAUGCAAGUCGAACAUUAAAGCUCUCUUCGGAGAGUGCAUAGAGUGGCGCACGGGUGAGUAACACGUAAGUAAUCUACCUUCGAGUGGGGAAUAACGUCCGGAAACGGGCGCUAAUACCGCAUAAUGCAGCGGCAUCGCAAGAUGACAGUUGUUAAAGGAGCAAUCCGCUUGAAGAGGAGCUUGCGGCAGAUUAGCUAGUUGGUAGGGUAAUGGCCUACCAAGGCUACGAUCUGUAACCGGUCUUAGAGGACGGUCGGUCACACUGACACUGAAUAACGGGUCAGACUCCUACGGGAGGCAGCAGCCGGGAAUUUUGGGCAAUGGGGGAAACCCUGACCCAGCAACGCCGCGUGAAGGAUGAAGUAUUUCGGUAUGUAAACUUCGAAAGAAUAGGAAGAAUUAAUGACGGUACUAUUUAUAAGGUCCGGCUAACUACGUGCCAGCAGCCGCGGUAAUGUCUGUACU
rnacentral:rRNA from 1 species